CCGCCUGUAGCUCAGUUGGUAGAGCAGGGGACUCUUAAUCCCAAGGUCGAAGGUUCAAAUCCUUCCAGGCGGA
rnacentral:tRNA from 1 species